GUGAGUAAAAUAAACAUUAUUUUUUACAUCAACUCAUAAGUUAUGUGAAACUUCCCCAGGAGCAUUGUUAAAAUACUUUGGAGGCACAGAAUCAGCCCAGAGCCAGUCCACAUCCUCAGGCUCAACUGUGAGUGAUGAAUCAGGUCCAUCUCCAUCCUCUACAGUGCUCUCUCACACACCUCCAUCCUCUGUGCCCACUGUCCCCUCCAUGUCUGAAACCACAGCUGAUUUAUCUACAACUUCCACCACAACGUCCCCUUCACACCAUGGACCAUCAUCAGCUCCGCCAGUUGACCCAGCUGAGUGGCCUUCUUUCCUCUCAGAUUCAGACAGGACUGAGCAGGUGAUCAGAGGACCACUGUCUAUUAAGGAGAACUUUUCAUUCCCCAAACGGCAUGAUGGCCGAAGUUUUCAUUAUCAUUAUACCUACAGACAGCUAGUCAAUGGGGAAAAAGUCAAGCGUAGCUG